rnacentral:sRNA from 1 species
UGUGUAUGCAGUAAUAGAAGCUAUUGGGAGUUAUUAGAAUUAUCUUGUAACCAAGCACAUAGCAAGUACUGUUAUUAAUUUUAGUUCUGUGUGUGUGUGUGUGUGUGUGUGUGUGUGUGUUGGGUACUGGGGAUUGAACUCAAGGGCACUCAAAAACUGAGCCCCAU